rnacentral:misc_RNA from 1 species
CUUAUAUUUUGUUAAAAUUACAUUAGUGCUCAAUAGAAUCAAAUCAAAUAGUUCAAGGGUUUAAUGGAGCACAUUUCAAUUGGAGAACUCAAUAGUGAAAACUCAACUUUAGUUUAAUGAAUUUUCCAUAAGCAUAUAAACAAAUCAUCAGUGAUAUAAGAUAGAACACUAUGCUUUGGCAAUAUCCCCAAGCAUACAAGGAACUUGAGGAUAAAAAAAGACCUUACCUCAUUAAAAUAUCGUAAGAG